rnacentral:rRNA from 1 species
GUGCCAGCAGCCGCGGUAAUACAGAGGGUGCGAGCGUUAAUCGGAUUUACUGGGCGUAAAGCGUGCGUAGGCGGCUUUUUAAGUCGGAUGUGAAAUCCCUGAGCUUAACUUAGGGAAUUGCAUUCGAUACUGGGAAGCUAGAGUAUGGGAGAGGAUGGUAGAAUUCCAGGUGUAGCGGUGAAAUGCGUAGAGAUCUGGAGGAAUACCGAUGGCGAAAGCAGCCAUCUGGCCUAAUACUGACGCUGAGUACGAAAGCAUGGGGGCAAACAGAUUAGAUACCCCUGGUAGUCC